GACGAACGCUGGCGGCGUGCUUAACACAUGCAAGUCGAACGAUGAAGCUGGAGCUUGCUCCGGUGGAUUAGUGGCGAACGGGUGAGUAACACGUGGGCAAUCUGCCCUUGACUCUGGGAUAACUGCGGGAAACUGUAGCUAAUACCGGAUACGAGGCUCGAAGGCAUCUUCGGGUCUGGAAAGAAUUUCGGUCAAGGAUGAGCUCGCGGCCUAUCAGCUUGUUGGUGAAGUAAUGGCUCACCAAGGCGACGACGGGUAGCCGGCCUGAGAGGGUGACCGGCCACACUGGGACUGAGACACGGCCCAGACUCCUACGGGAGGCAGCAGUGGGGAAUAUUGCACAAUGGGCGAAAGCCUGAUGCAGCAACGCCGCGUGAGGGAUGAAGGCCUUCGGGUUGUAAACCUCUUUUAGCAGGGAAGAAGCGAAAGUGACGGUACCUGCAGAAAAAGCACCGGCUAACUACGUGCCAGCCGCCGCAGUAA
rnacentral:rRNA from 1 species